ACUUACAUCUACAAACGCCGGGGAAUUACGAGCUACGCUUAAAACCCAAAGGAUUUGACGGUGUCCCACCCCCCUAGAGGAGCCUGUUCUAUAAUCGAUAAUACCCGCUAUACCCAACCACCUCUCGCUAUUCAGUCUGUAUACCUCCGUCGAAAGCUUACCAUGUGAACGCCUACAGUAAGUACAAUGGCUACCAACGUCAACACGUCAGGUCAAGGUGCAGCUUAAGUGGUGGAAAGUAAUUGGCUACAAUUUCUAAUCUAGAACAAACGGAAGGCUAUGUGAAACCAUAGCUCUGAAGGCGGAUUUAGCAGUAAAAAGAAAAUAGAGCGUUCUUUUUAACCCGGCUCUGGGACGCGUACACACCGCCCGUCAC
rnacentral:rRNA from 1 species